CAGUCUUGGACGUGGUGAGACAGCAGCACCAAGCAUACACGGUAUCAACAUUUGGUAUUCGACGGUCCACUAGCACUGCUCAAAAAACACAAGAAAAGGAAAAUAAGGAGGUCCCUGCUUGUAGCAGUCAGGCGGCGAAGAUUUUCUGGGAGAAGAAAAAUGCAGUCAACUUUAAAGAUACGCCUUUUUCUGUUGACAAACACACAACAUUAGAUUGCCAAUAUGGUCGGCUACGACUACAAGGCA